rnacentral:rRNA from 1 species
UACGCGGGGGGCAAGCGUUGUUCGGAAUUAUUGGGCGUAAAGGGCGCGUAGGCGGUGCGGUAAGUCACCUGUGAAAACUCUGGGCUCAACUCAGAGCCUGCAGGCGAAACUGCCGUGCUUGAGUGUGGGAGAGGUGCGUGGAAUUCCCGGUGUAGCGGUGAAAUACGUAGAUAUCGGGAAGAACACCCGUGGCGAAGGCGGCUCUCUGGAACGCAACUGACGCUGAGACGCGAAAGCGUGGGGAGCAAACAGG